rnacentral:rRNA from 1 species
GGGCGCACGGUGGAUGCCUUGACACUAGGAGUCGAUGAAGGACGGGACUAACGCCGAUAUGCUUCGGGGAGCUGUAAGUAAGCUUUGAUCCGAAGAUUUCCGAAUGGGGAAACCCACCAUACGUAAUGGUAUGGUAUCCUUAUCUGAAUACAUAGGGUAAGGAAGACAGACCCAGGGAACUGAAACAUCUAAGUACCUGGAGGAAGAGAAAGCAAAUGCGAUUUCCUGAGUAGCGGCGAGCGAAACGGAACAUAGCCCAAACCAAGAGGCUUGCCUCUUGGGGUUGUAGGACAUUCUAUACGGAGUUACAAAGGAACGAGGUAGACGAAGCGACCUGGAAAGGUCCGUCGUAGAGGGUAACAACCCCGUAGUCGAAACUUCGUUCUCUCUUGAAUGUAUCCUGAGUACGGCGGAACACGUGAAAUUCCGUCGGAAUCUGGGAGGACCAUCUCCCAAGGCUAAAUACUCCCUAGUGAUCGAUAGUGAACCAGUACCGUGAGAGAAAGGUGAAAAGCACCCCGGAAGGGGAGUGAAAGAGAUCCUGAAACCGUGUGCCUACAAAUAGUCAGAGCCCGUUAACGGGUGAUGGCGUGCCUUUUGUAGAAUGAACCGGCGAGUUACGAUCCCGUGCGAGGUUAAGCUGAAGAGGCGGAGCCGCAGCGAAAGCGAGUCUGAAUAGGGCGUUUAGUACGUGGUCGUAGACCCGAAACCAGGUGAUCUACCCAUGUCCAGGGUGAAGUUCAGGUAACACUGAAUGGAGGCCCGAACCCACGCACGUUGAAAAGUGCGGGGAUGAGGUGUGGGUAGCGGAGAAAUUCCAAUCGAACCUGGAGAUAGCUGGUUCUCCCCGAAAUAGCUUUAGGGCUAGCCUUAAGUGUAAGAGUCUUGGAGGUAGAGCACUGAUUGGACUAGGGGUCCUCAUCGGAUUACCGAAUUCAGUCAAACUCCGAAUGCCAAUGACUUAUCCUUAGGAGUCAGACUGCGAGUGAUAAGAUCCGUAGUCAAAAGGGAAACAGCCCAGACCGCCAGCUAAGGUCCCAAAGUGUGUAUUAAGUGGAAAAGGAUGUGGAGUUGCUUAGACAACUAGGAUGUUGGCUUAGAAGCAGCCACCAUUUAAAGAGUGCGUAAUAGCUCACUAGUCGAGUGACUCUGCGCCGAAAAUGUACCGGGGCUAAAUACACCACCGAAGCUGCGGAUUGAUACCAAUGGUAUCAGUGGUAGGGGAGCGUUCUAAGGACAGUGAAGUCAGACCGGAAGGACUGGUGGAGUGCUUAGAAGUGAGAAUGCCGGUAUGAGUAGCGAAAGACGGGUGAGAAUCCCGUCCACCGAAUGCCUAAGGUUUCCUGAGGAAGGCUCGUCCGCUCAGGGUUAGUCAGGACCUAAGCCGAGGCCGACAGGCGUAGGCGAUGGACAACAGGUUGAUAUUCCUGUACCACCUCUUUAUCGUUUGAGCAAUGGAGGGACGCAGAAGGAUAGAAGAAGCGUGCGAUUGGUUGUGCACGUCCAAGCAGUUAGGCUGAUAAGUAGGCAAAUCCGCUUAUCGUGAAGGCUGAGCUGUGAUGGGGAAGCUCCUUAUGGAGCGAAGUCUUUGAUUCCCCGCUGCCAAGAAAAGCUUCUAGCGAGAUAAAAGGUGCCUGUACCGCAAACCGACACAGGUAGGCGAGGAGAGAAUCCUAAGGUGUGCGAGAGAACUCUGGUUAAGGAACUCGGCAAAAUGACCCCGUAACUUCGGGAGAAGGGGUGCUUUCUUAACGGAAAGCCGCAGUGAAUAGGCCCAAGCGACUGUUUAGCAAAAACACAGCUCUCUGCGAAGCCGUAAGGCGAAGUAUAGGGGGUGACACCUGCCCGGUGCUGGAAGGUUAAGGAGAGGGGUUAGCGUAAGCGAAGCUCUGAACUGAAGCCCCAGUAAACGGCGGCCGUAACUAUAACGGUCCUAAGGUAGCGAAAUUCCUUGUCGGGUAAGUUCCGACCCGCACGAAAGGUGUAACGAUUUGGGCACUGUCUCAACCAGAGACUCGGUGAAAUUAUAGUACCUGUGAAGAUGCAGGUUACCCGCGACAGGACGGAAAGACCCCGUGGAGCUUUACUGUAGCCUGAUAUUGAAUUUUGGUACAGUUUGUACAGGAUAGGCGGGAGCCUUUGAAACCGGAGCGCUAGCUUCGGUGGAGGCGCUGGUGGGAUACCGCCCUGACUGUAUUGAAAUUCUAACCUACGGGUCUUAUCGACCCGGGAGACAGUGUCAGGUGGGCAGUUUGACUGGGGCGGUCGCCUCCUAAAGUGUAACGGAGGCGCCCAAAGGUUCCCUCAGAAUGGUUGGAAAUCAUUCGUAGAGUGCAAAGGCAUAAGGGAGCUUGACUGCGAGACCUACAAGUCGAGCAGGGACGAAAGUCGGGCUUAGUGAUCCGGUGGUUCCGCAUGGAAGGGCCAUCGCUCAACGGAUAAAAGCUACCCCGGGGAUAACAGGCUUAUCUCCCCCAAGAGUCCACAUCGACGGGGAGGUUUGGCACCUCGAUGUCGGCUCAUCGCAUCCUGGGGCUGUAGUCGGUCCCAAGGGUUGGGCUGUUCGCCCAUUAAAGCGGUACGCGAGCUGGGUUCAGAACGUCGUGAGACAGUUCGGUCCCUAUCCGUCGUGGGCGUAGGAAAUUUGAGAGGAGCUGUCCUUAGUACGAGAGGACCGGGAUGGACGCACCGCUGGUGUACCAGUUGUUCUGCCAAGGGCAUAGCUGGGUAGCUAUGUGCGGAAGGGAUAAGUGCUGAAAGCAUCUAAGCAUGAAGCCCCCCUCAAGAUGAGAUUUCCCAUAGCGUAAGCUAGUAAGAUCCCUGAAAGAUGAUCAGGUUGAUAGGUUCGAGGUGGAAGCAUGGUGACAUGUGGAGCUGACGAAUACUAAUAGAUCGAGGACUUAACCAU